UACGUAGCAGAGCAGCUCCCUCGCUG
rnacentral:piRNA from 7 species